rnacentral:rRNA from 1 species
CAGUCGCCGCGGUAAUGCGUAGGUGGCAAGCGUUGUCCGGAAUUAUUGGGCGUAAAGGGCUCGCAGGCGGUUUCUUAAGUCUGAUGUGAAAGCCCCCGGCUCAACCGGGGAGGGUCAUUGGAAACUGGGAAACUUGAGUGCAGAAGAGGAGAGUGGAAUUCCACGUGUAGCGGUGAAAUGCGUAGAGAUGUGGAGGAACACUAGUGGCGAAGGCGACUCUCUGGUCUGUAACUGACGCUGAGGAGCGAAAGCGUGGGGAGCGAACAGGAUUAGAUACCCCUGUAGUCCCUGUCUCUUAUAC